rnacentral:rRNA from 1 species
UCAAGUAAUUAAGUGCAUGUGGUGGAUGCCUUGGCAGUCAGAGGCGAUGAAAGACGUGAUAGCCUGCGAAAAGCUCCGGGGAGGCGGCAAAUAUCCUUUGAUCCGGAGAUGUCUGAAUGGGGGAACCCACCUACUUUAAGGUAGGUAUUGCAACAUGAAUACAUAGUGUUGCAAGGCGAACGAGGGGAAGUGAAACAUCUCAGUACCCUUAGGAAAAGAAAUCAAUUGAGAUUCCCUCAGUAGCGGCGAGCGAACGGGGAUCAGCCCAUUAAGUUAUGUGUGUUUUAGUGGAACGCUCUGGGAAGUGCGAACGUAGAGGGUGAUAUUCCCGUACACGAAAGGGCACACAUAAUGAUGACGAGUAGGGCGAGGCACGUGAAACCUUGUCUGAAUAUGGGGGGACCAUCCUCCAAGGCUAAAUACUCCUGACUGACCGAUAGUGAACCAGUACCGUGAGGGAAAGGCGAAAAGAACCCCUGUGAGGGGAGUGAAAUAGAUCCUGAAACCGCAUGCAUACAAGCAGUGGGAGCACCUUCGUGGUGUGACUGCGUACCUUUUGUAUAAUGGGUCAGCGACUUAUAUUCAGUAGCGAGGUUAACCGUAUAGGGGAGCCGUAGAGAAAUCGAGUCUUAAUAGGGCGUUUAGUUGCUGGGUAUAGACCCGAAACCAGGCGAUCUAUCCAUGAGCAGGUUGAAGGUUGGGUAACACUAACUGGAGGACCGAACCCACUGUCGUUGAAAAGCCAGGGGAUGACUUGUGGAUAGGGGUGAAAGGCUAAUCAAGCCUGGUGAUAGCUGGUUCUCCCCGAAAGCUAUUUAGGUAGCGCCUCGGACGAAUACCAUAGGGGGUAGAGCACUGUUUCGGCUAGGGGGUCAUCCCGACUUACCAAACCGAUGCAAACUCCGAAUACCUAUGAGUACUAUCCGGGAGACAGACUGCGGGUGCUAACGUCCGUAGUCAAGAGGAAAACAAUCCAGACCGCCAGCUAAGGCCCCAAAAUCAUAGUUAAGUGGGAAACGAUGUGGGAAGGCAUAGACAGCUAGGAGGUUGGCUUAGAAGCAGCCACCCUUUAAAGAAAGCGUAAUAGCUCACUAGUCGAGUCGGCCUGCGCGGAAGAUGUAACGGGGCUAAAACUAUGUGCCGAAGCUGCGGAUGUAUACUUUGUAUACGUGGUAGGGGAGCGUUCUGUAAGCCGAUGAAGGUGUGUUGAGAAGCAUGCUGGAGGUAUCAGAAGUGCGAAUGCUGACGUGAGUAACGACAAAACGGGUGAAAAACCCGUUCGCCGAAAGACCAAGGGUUCCAGUCCAACGUUAAUCGGGGCUGGGUGAGUCGACCCCUAAGGCGAGGCCGAAAGGCGUAGUCGAUGGGAAAAUGGUUAAUAUUCCAUUACUUCUGUGUAAUGCGAUGAGAGGACGGAGAAGGCUAAAUCAGCCUGGCGUUGGUUGUCCAGGUGAAAGGAUGUAGGCAUGUAUCUUAGGCAAAUCCGGGGUACUCUAUGCUGAGAUCUGAUAGCAAGCUGUACUUGUACAGCGAAGUGGUUGAUGCCAUGCUUCCAGGAAAAGUCUCUAAGCUUCAGUUACACAGGAAUCGUACCCGAAACCGACACAGGUGGUCAGGUCGAGUAGACCAAGGCGCUUGAGAGAACUCUGCUGAAGGAACUAGGCAAAAUGGUACCGUAACUUCGGGAGAAGGUACGCUGUUGUUGGUGAUGGAACUCGCUUCCUGAGCUGACGACAGCCGCAGAAACCAGGCCGCUGCAACUGUUUAUUAAAAACAUAGCACUCUGCAAACACGAAAGUGGACGUAUAGGGUGUGAUGCCUGCCCGGUGCUGGAAGGUUAAUUGAUGGGGUUAGCGUAAGCGAAGCUCUUGAUCGAAGCCCCAGUAAACGGCGGCCGUAACUAUAACGGUCCUAAGGUAGCGAAAUUCCUUGUCGGGUAAGUUCCGACCUGCACGAAUGGCAUAAUGAUGGCGGCGCUGUCUCCAGCAGAGGCUCAGUGAAAUCGAAAUCGCUGUGAAGAUGCAGUGUACCCGCGGCUAGACGGAAAGACCCCGUGAACCUUUACUGCAGCUUGACACUGAACUUUGACCUUACUUGUGUAGGAUAGGUGGGAGGCUUUGAAGCUGGAACGCUAGUUCCAGUGGAGCCGUCCUUGAAAUACCACCCUGGUAAUGUUGAGGUUCUAACUCUGUCCCGUGAUCCGGGACGAGGACCGUGUCUGGUGGGUAGUUUGACUGGGGCGGUCUCCUCCUAAAGAGUAACGGAGGAGUACGAAGGUGCGCUCAGCGUGGUCGGAAAUCACGCGUAGAGUAUAAAGGCAAAAGCGCGCUUAACUGCGAGACCCACAAGUCGAGCAGGUACGAAAGUAGGUCUUAGUGAUCCGGUGGUUCUGUAUGGAAGGGCCAUCGCUCAACGGAUAAAAGGUACUCUGGGGAUAACAGGCUGAUACCGCCCAAGAGUUCAUAUCGACGGCGGUGUUUGGCACCUCGAUGUCGGCUCAUCUCAUCCUGGGGCUGAAGCAGGUCCCAAGGGUAUGGCUGUUCGCCAUUUAAAGAGGUACGCGAGCUGGGUUUAGAACGUCGUGAGACAGUUCGGUCCCUAUCUACCGUGGGCGCUGGAAAUUUGAGAGGAUCUGCUCCUAGUACGAGAGGACCAGAGUGGACGAACCUCUGGUGUACCGGUUGUGACGCCAGUCGCAUCGCCGGGUAGCUAUGUUCGGAAGGGAUAACCGCUGAAAGCAUCUAAGCGGGAAGCCUACCUCAAGAUAAGAUUUCCCUAGGACUUUAUGUCCUCUAAAGAGCCGUUCGAGACUAGGACGUUGAUAGGUUGGAUGUGGAAGCAUAGUGAUAUGUGAAGC